rnacentral:rRNA from 1 species
CUGCCCCUGACUCUGGGAUAAGCGGUGGAAACGCCGUCUAAUACCGGAUACGACCUUUCAGCUCAUGCUGGAGGGUGGAAAGUUUUAUCGGUCAGGGAUGGGCUCGCGGCCUAUCAGCUUGUUGGUGGGGUAAAGGCCUACCAAGGCGAUUACGGGUAGCCGGCCUGAGAGGGCGACCGGCCACACUGGGACUGAGACACGGCCCAGACUCCUGCGGGAGGCAGCAGUGGGGAAUAUUGCACAAUGGGCGAAAGCCUGAUGCAGCGACGCCGCGUGGGGGAUGACGGCCUUCGGGUUGUAAACCUCUUUUACCACCAACGCAGGCUCCACGUUCUCGUGGGGUUGACGGUAGGUGGGGAAUAAGGACCGGCUAACUACGUGCCAGCAGCCGCGGUAAUACGUAGGGUCCGAGCGUUGUCCGGAAUUAUUGGGCGUAAAGAGCUCGUAGGCGGCGUGUCACGUCUGCUGUGAAAGACCGGGGCUUAACUCCGGUUCUGCAGUGGAUACGGGCAUGCUAGAGGUAGGUAGGGGAGACUGGAAUUCCUGGUGUAGCGGUGAAAUGCGCA